rnacentral:rRNA from 1 species
GACGAACGCUGGCGGCGUGCCUAAUACAUGCAAGUCGACCUUAGUGGCGGACGGGUGAGUAACACGUGGGUGACCUGCCCUGCACUUCGGGCUAAGCCUGGGAAACUGGGUCUAAUACCGGAUGUGUGGGAUGGGCCCGCGGCCUAUCAGCUUGUUGGUGGGGUAAUGGCCUCCAAAGGCGGCGACGGGUAGCAGGCCUGAGAGGUGGGACGGCCACAUUGGGACUGAGACACGGCCCAGAUUCCUACGGGAGGCAGCAGUAGGGAAUCUUCGGCAAGGGACGAAAGUCUGACCGAGAAACGCCGCGUGAGUGAAGAAGGUUUUCGGAUCGUAAAACUCUGUUGUUAGAGAAGCGGUAUCUAACCAGAAAGCCACGGCUAACUACGUGCCAGCAGCCGCGGUAAUAC